AGGCAGACAAAACUCGGGCGCCAGUCUAUAGUCGGGAGCGAUGACAAGCGCUUGUAGGUCAGAGGAAAGACGGAGGCAACAGUUAUGACAAUUAGGCCACGUACGUGAACCUACACAGAAACCUCCACCAUGAAAAAAGUAGACUAUUUUGAGCUUGUUUGCUAAUUUAGGUUUGUAAAGACGGAGAUAGAGAUUGUUUUUUUCGUCGUAAAGGCAAUCUUUCCAAACGACAGAGCCAUCGUCUUGGA